GACGAACGCUGGCGGCGUGCCUAAUACAUGCAAGUUGAGCGCUGAAGGUUGGUACUUGUACCAACUGGAUGAGCAGCGAACGGGUGAGUAACGCGUGGGGAAUCUGCCUUUGAGCGGGGGACAACAUUUGGAAACGAAUGCUAAUACCGCAUAAAAACUUUAAACACAAGUUUUAAGUUUGAAAGAUGCAAUUGCAUCACUCAAAGAUGAUCCCGCGUUGUAUUAGCUAGUUGGUGAGGGAAAGGCUCACCAAGGCGAUGAUACAUAGCCGACCUGAGAGGGUGAUCGGCCAAAUUGGGACUGAGACACGGCCCAAACUCCUACGGGAGGCAGCAGUAGGGAAUCUUCGGCAAUGGAAGAAAGUCUGACCGAGCAACGCCGCGUGAGUGAAGAAGGUUUUCGGAUCGUAAAACUCUGUUGGUAGAGAAGAACGUUGGUGAGAGUGGAAAGCUCAUCAAGUGACGGUAACUACCCAGAAAGGGACGGCUAACUACGUG
rnacentral:rRNA from 1 species